GAUGAACGCUGGCGGCGUGCCUAAUACUUGCAAGUCGAGCGAACAGACGAGGAGCUUGCUCCUCUGACGUUAGCGGCGGACGGGUGAGUAACACGUGGAUAACCUACCUAUAAGACUGGGAUAACUUCGGGAAACCGGAGCUAAUACCGGAUAAUAUAUUGAACCGCAUGGUUCAAUAGUGAAAGACGGUUUUGCUGUCACUUAUAGAUGGAUCCGCGCCGCAUUAGCUAGUUGGUAAGGUAACGGCUUACCAAGGCAACGAUGCGUAGCCGACCUGAGAGGGUGAUCGGCCACACUGGAACUGAGACACGGUCCAGACUCCUACGGGAGGCAGCAGUAGGGAAUCUUCCGCAAUGGGCGAAAGCUUGACGGAGCAACGCCGCGUGAGUGAUGAAGGUCUUCGGAUCGUAAAACUCUGUUAUUAGGGAAGAACAAAUGUGUAAGUAACUAUGCACGUCUUGACGGUACCUAAUCAGAAAACCACGGCUAACUACGU
rnacentral:rRNA from 1 species